UUUGAUUUCAUCUUGGCCUCUCCCUAUUGUUUUAAAGGAACUUGCACAAGAUACACUUAUGUUGGAAUUGGCACGAGAUCGUGCAGUGGCUGCAACUCAAGAUUCUCAGGCCAAGGCAUCCUCUUUGACUAAUGCAGCUGUGGGUGCUUCUCUUGGAGCCGGUCUUGGUAUCAUCCUAGCUGUUGUCAUGGGCGCAGCAUCUGCCCUAAGGAAACCAUGAUAUCCAAAACAGUUUUGGUCCUUUGUCGUCCAAUGGCAUAUCCGCCAGAUGUAUAAUGAGUCAGCUAAAAAGGUUCAGUUCUCUGCUAGCAUGGAGAAUUUAAUUAUGAAGUUAAAGCCACACCUAGAGUAGGUGAGUUUCAGAAAACAUCAAAUGUAAUUAUUAUUCGUGGCUAAAAUUUAUAUUUCUUUAUUGCAUGAAAAAUUAUUAAAUAUUCUCGAAAUAGCUUAGGCUAAUCAUGUGCAUUGUUUACAUUGUUACUUCUGCCUAAUUAGAAAUCACAGUUACAAAUCACAAUAAGUGAAUUAGUAUUAGUUGUCUCAAAGUACUUAACAAAGGUGAGUCCUGUAAACUUUUUCGUUAUGUGAUUGAUUUGGAACAAAAACUGAAAAAUAGACUUGCCUCUCGGUCCAGUGGCCUUGAGGCCUGUUGACCCGUGAAAGAAAUAUGAUUUUGACACU